rnacentral:rRNA from 1 species
GCGUUGUUCGGAAUUACUGGGCGUAAAGGGCUUGUAGGUGGCCAACUAAGUCAGACGUGAAAUCCCUCGGCUUAACCGGGGAACUGCGUCUGAUACUGGAUGGCUCGAGUGUGGGAGAGGGAUGCGGAAUUCCAGGUGUAGCGGUGAAAUGCGUAGAUAUCUGGAGGAACACCGGUGGCGAAGGCGGCAUCCUGGACCAUAACUGACACUGAUAAGCGAAAGCCAGGGGAGCAAACGGG